rnacentral:tRNA from 1 species
GUUCCUGUAGUUGAAUUUCAACGGCGAUUUUUCAGGUCGAGGGUCUUGGUUAAAAUCCAGGCGGGAACU